AAAUUGAAGAGUUUGAUCAUGGCUCAGAUUGAACGCUGGCGGCAGGCCUAACACAUGCAAGUCGAACGGUAACAGGAAACAGCUUGCUGUUUCGCUGACGAGUGGCGGACGGGUGAGUAAUGUCUGGGAAACUGCCUGAUGGAGGGGGAUAACUACUGGAAACGGUAGCUAAUACCGCAUAAUGUCGCAAGACUAAAGAGGGGGACCUUCGGGCCUCUUGCCAUCGGAUGUGCCCAGAUGGGAUUAGCU
rnacentral:rRNA from 1 species